rnacentral:miRNA from 1 species
GAAUGUUGUCUGGCUCGAGGCCCC